rnacentral:rRNA from 1 species
GGUAGUCCGCGCUGUAAACGAUGUCGAUUUGGAGGUUGUGCCCUCGAGGCGUGGCUUCCGGAGCUAACGCGUUAAAUCGACCGCCUGGGGAGUACGGCCGCAAGGUUAAAACUCAAAUGAAUUGACGGGGGCCCGCACAAGCGGUGGAGCAUGUGGUUUAAUUCGAUGCAACGCGAAGAACCUUACCUACUCUUGACAUCCAGAGAACUUUCCAGAGAUGGAUGGGUGCCUUCGGGAACUCUGAGACAGGUGCUGCAUGGCUGUCGUCAGCUCGUGUUGUGAAAUGUUGGGUUAAGUCCCGCAACGAGCGCAACCCUUAUCCUUUGUUGCCAGCGGUUCGGCCGGGAACUCAAAGGAGACUGCCAGUGAUAAACUGGAGGAAGGUGGGGAUGACGUCAAGUCAUCAUGGCCCUUACGAGUAGGGCUACACACGUGCUACAAUGGCGUAUACAAAGAGAAGCGAACUUGCGAGAGUAAGCGGACCUCAUAAAGUACGUCGUAGUCCGGAUUGGAGUCUGCAACUCGACUCUAUGAAGUCGGAAUCGCUAGUAAUCGUAGAUCAGAAUGCUACGGUGAAUACGUUCCCGGGCCUUGUACACACCGCCCGUCACACCAUGGGAGUGGGUUGCAAAAGAAGUAGGUAGCUUAACCUUCGGGAGGGCGCUUACCACUUUGUGAUUCAUGACUGGGGUGAAGUCGUAACAAGGUAACCAAGGGCGAAUUCGCGGC